rnacentral:rRNA from 1 species
GGGUCCGGGACAACACUUCGAAAGGGGUGCUAAUACCGGAUAAGACCACGCCCUCCAAGGGGGGUGAGGUAAAAGGUGGCCUCUCCAUGGAAGCUAUCACCUGAGGCUGGGCCCGCGCCCCAUCAGCUUGUUGGUGAGGUAACGGCUCACCAAGGCCGAGACGGGUAGCUGGUCUGAGAGGAUGUCCAGCCACACUGGAACUGAGACACGGUCCAGACUCCUACGGGAGGCAGCAGUGGGGAAUAUUGCGCAAUGGGCGAAAGCCUGACGCAGCGACGCCGCGUGAGUGAUGAAGGCCUUCGGGUCGUAAAGCUCUGUCGGAGGGGAACGAAAACGCCUGGGGAACAAUACCCCCAGGUCCUGACGGUACUCCUCCAGAAAGCACCGGCUAACUCCGUGCCAGCAGCCGCGGUAAUACGGAGGGUGCAAGCGUUGUUCGGAAUCAUUGGUCGUAAGGAGCGUGUAGGCGGGACAGUAUGUCGGGUGUGAAAGCCCUCGGCCUAACCGAGGAAUUGCAUCCGAAACUGCUGUUCUUGAGUACGGGAGAGGGAAGCGGAAUUUCCAGUGUAGAGGUGAAAUUCGUAGAUAUUGGAAGGAACACCGGUGGCGAAGGCGGCUUCCUGGACCGAUACUGACGCUGAGACGCGAAAGCGUGGGGGGCAAACAGGAUUAGAUACCCUGGUAGUCCACGCUGUAAACGAUGAACACUAGGUGUUGCGGGUGUUGACCCCUGCAGUGCCGUAGCUAACGCGUUAAGUGUUCCGGCUGGGGAUUACGGUCGCAAGACUAAAACUCAAAGGAAUUUUCNG